rnacentral:tRNA from 1 species
UCUAAAAUGACAGAAUUAUGUACAAGAUUUAGGAUCUUGCCAUGGGUCUCAUAACCCUUUUAGAA